rnacentral:rRNA from 1 species
GUGCCUACGGGAGGCAGCAGUCGGGAAUAUUGCGCAAUGGAGGAAACUCUGACGCAGUGACGCCGCGUAUAGGAAGAAGGUUUUCGGAUUGUAAACUAUUGUCGUGAGGGAAGAAGAUGACAGUACCUCAGGAGGAAGCUCCGGCUAACUAUGUGCCAGCAGCCGCGGUAAUACAUAGGGAGCAAGCGUUAUCCGGAAUUAUUGGGUGUAAAGGGGGCGCAGACGGCGAUGCAAGCCAGGAGGGAAAGCCCGGGGCCCAACCCCGGGACUGCGCUUGGAACUGCGCGGCUGGAGUGCAGGA